AGUGGGUAGUCCGCACGAGCGCACCUUGUCCUUAGUUGCCAGCAUUCAGUUGGGCACUCUCAGGCUCUGCCGGUGCCAAACCGGAGGCAGGUGGGGCCGCCGUCAAGUCAUCAUGGCCCUUACGUGUCGGGCUACACACGUGCUACAAUGGCAUUUACAGCGGGCAGCGCGCCAGUGAUGUGGAGCGGACCCCUUAAAGCAUGUCGUAGUCCGGAUUGGAGUCUGCAACUCGACUCCAUGAAGUCGGAAUCGCUAGUAAUCGCAGGUCAGAAUACUGCGGUGAAUACGUUCCCGGGCCUUGUACACACCGCCCGUCACACCAUGGGAGUGGGAUGCAAAAGAAGUAGUUAGUCUAACCUUCGGGAGGACGAUUACCACUUUGUGUUUCAUGAAUGGGGUGAAGUCGUAACAAGGUAACCCUAGGGGAACCUGGGGUUGGAUCACCUCCUU
rnacentral:rRNA from 1 species